CGGCGGACGGGUGAGUAAUGCCUAGGAAUCUGCCUGGUAGUGGGGGACAACGUUUCGAAAGGAACGCUAAUACCGCAUACGUCCUACGGGAGAAAGCAGGGGACCUUCGGGCCUUUCGCUAUCAGAUGAGCCUAGGUCGGAUUAGCUAGUUGGUGAGGUAAUGGCUCACCAAGGCGACGAUCCGUAACUGGUCUGAGAGGAUGAUCAGUCACACUGGAACUGAGACACGGUCCAGACUCCUACGGGAGGCAGCAGAU
rnacentral:rRNA from 1 species